rnacentral:tRNA from 1 species
GGGGGCGUAGCUCAGAUGGUGGAGCGCUCGCUUAGCAUGCAGGAGGUACCGGGAUCGAUACCCUGCCCCUCCAGAUGCCUUUUUUUGCACUAACAUA